GUUUUUAUUAACACUGUCACCUUCUUGCCACACAGUUGAGACUUCUGUAUGCACUUUCAGCAGGUUUUCUGAUUUAUUGGACGUCAUAACAUGGAUUUUUUCACAUUACUUUCACUCUCUAGUAUUGAAUGUAAGACUAAAGGCUGAUUUUCAUCCUAAAUGAAGCAUUUUAACCACUACAUAGAAGCAGGUUUUCUGAUUGAGUGAAAGUCAUCAUCACAUGGAGCAUCAAUGUUGCUGUGACUGUAUUAUUUAUUUAUUUAUUUAUCAUACAAUUGGCAUUUUUACUACUUCAUGA